UGUAUUCUUGUAGUAUUUAAUAUAAUGUGGUAGAAUGUAAGUAUAUAAAAAUUCGAAUUUUAUCAAUGAUCAAGACUUAUUGGCAAAUAUUUUUAUGGCAUAGUGUGAUUUUUAAACUGGUCUAAAAUUUUCUUAUAUUGUCCCAGAAGAAAACACUAGUAUAGUUUUAAAAGAGGCUGAAUUAUCAUAUAUUAUUUUCUAAAUCGACUAAUGUCCUCUAAGCAAUUGAGUUUUUUAGGUUUAAAAAAAGUAAAAAUAAAUGUAUUUUAUAACAAAAAUAUAUAUAAAAAAAGUGAAUAAAAAAAAUAUGUAAACCAAAUCAAUUUUAAAAUUUACCAUUAUUACUUUACGAUAACAAACAUAAUUUCUUUUGUAAUAAAAUAAUCUUUACAAUUUUUUUAUUGACUUAAUAUCUAGGUAUACAUUUAAUUGUAUACAAAGAAAAAGACCUAAAGAGUAAACACCUUUGAUCAUUUUUAAUUAUCAAAGCAUUUAUUAAAUUCCCAUUGUUAAUAUAUAUGCAUUAUUUUAUUUAAAUAAAAAAAAUGUCGAAUAAUUUACAUUUAGAUCGUGUUAAUAAACAUGAAUUGAAUAGAGUAAAAUAGUGAUUUACAGUUAAUAUCUUUUGACAUUUAUGGUUUAAAAAUGCUGCACAAAUUACUCGACUUGCUAAUAUAUGAUUGAUUUUGAUAUUUUACGAUGUGGUAGUACAGAUUUAACCUUUCUUCAUGUUACAUUUUUUAACUAUGCCUAUAGACAAAAUGAUUAUAGUAUUUUUUCUAUACCUAAGGAGCUGGCAAGAAACAUAUAUUUAUAAUAUGGUCAUGAGGUCGUCAUUUUUAACAUUGAUAAUUGUGCCAACAUGAAGAACCGUUCUUGAAGGUUUAAUCCAAAUCGACUGUCACGGACUUGAAUUAACUAACCAAAUCGAUUCCAAACAUCUGAACUUCUAAAUGAAACGAGUAAUCAUGUACCGAAAUUCUUACUAUCUCUAUAACUACUAAAGGAAAGCAUUUUUUUUAUAAACAGAAGAUUAAUGUGAAGUAAGGUCAGGUUGAAAACAUUUGUCUAUAGAAUUACAUUAUAAUUAAGUCUAAGCUUAUAUGUAUUAAUAUCCUUUCGGAAACAAAUGUAAUUUUGUCAGUUUUUACCUAAUAAAUGUAUUGGUGUCA